rnacentral:ncRNA from 2 species
AUGCCGAACUCUGGAGAGCGGCACCCGCCAUGCAGGCGAGCGUGCCCACCGAAGGGGCGCGCGAGGAUUGGGUCCGCAGGAUCCGCCUCGUAAUCUCUCAGGUAUCGAGGACAGAGGGGUCAUC